rnacentral:lncRNA from 1 species
AAGACUCAAAGCAGCAUCAUUGCCGAACACAUGAUUCAUUUGAAAAUUAAGGUCUUUCCGAAUCGACUUGACUUGCACAGAAAUGUUUGCCACUGGUCUUUACUCAAACAACGAUUCACUCAUAAAUGCAUUACUUAAAAAGUGUGAGGUAAAUGUAUUGUUUGUCUAGUACAUGUAUCUCGGAUCCGUUAAUUUACCCUUAUAACUAAAAAAAAACAUUACCCCCUCCCUUUGCCAAAUACUCCUUGGAGAAGAAAUACCAUUUGAAACAAACAGAAAAGAUAGGAAUAUAGUGAUCCUAAUAUAUCAUUCCUUCUUCUCCUUCAAUCUCUGUACCGAUGUAAUGCAUUGGCUUUAUGAGAAUAAAAAUAUAUAUUCUUCGCCUGUAAGCACGCUGCUGCAGCCUACGUUUUCUAAUGCUUAAUCGAGACAUCUUUAUCUAUACUAUUAAACGAGAAGACCUCAUUUUUGGUGUCGCUUCUCUUCUUUCCAGAAUAAAUUAAUCAACACGCCUCAGUCUGUGUCCUAUAGGUACAGUGCAUAGUCGCAUUUCUCAUCCAUUCAUAUGAUUAUUCAGAUUGAGUUAUUUUAGGAGAAAAACGAGAAAAAAGACAUCCGGAUAUUGUCCCGUCAUUGUACGAAAUUUUAAGUCAGAUUAAACUUCCGGUUUGCGUUUUUCUGUAUACUUUGAACAUACAUAUACUACGAAUAAAGUGUAUUUUCAGAAUUUUAUCUUCUAUCAUUUUCAAGUUUACUAUCCACGGCGGUCACAGAGUUUAUUAAAUAGAGAGGGUCUGUAUACUAUAUCAAUGAUCACCAUGGAUCGAUUAGUAAACUUAGAAUUGAAAGUAAAUGCGCUUUAUUUAUAUAGUAAUGAAUGUUCAUAAUAUACAGAUAAGCGCUAAAAUUAUUCAUGUGAACUUUUGAUACUUUUUCUGAAAUUCUCCAGUCAUUUAAUCUUUUACAAAAUUCAUUGAUUACAUAAAAAAAAAGAAGAUGUGGUAUGAUUGCCAUGUUUAGACAACUUUCCACAAGAGACCAAAAUGACACAGAUAUUAACAACUAUAGGUCACCGUACGGCCUUCAACAAAGAGC